rnacentral:rRNA from 2 species
UGGAGAGUUUGAUCCUGGCUCAGGACGAACGCUGGCGGCGUGCCUAAUACAUGCAAGUCGAGCGGAAAUUUUAUUGGUGCUUGCACCUUUAAAAUUUUAGCGGCGGACGGGUGAGUAACACGUGGGUAACCUACCUUAUAGAUUGGGAUAACUCCGGGAAACCGGGGCUAAUACCGAAUAAUACUUUUUAACACAUGUUUGAAAGUUGAAAGACGGUUUCGGCUGUCACUAUAAGAUGGACCCGCGGCGCAUUAGCUAGUUGGUGAGGUAACGGCUCACCAAGGCAACGAUGCGUAGCCGACCUGAGAGGGUGAUCGGCCACACUGGGACUGAGACACGGCCCAGACUCCUACGGGAGGCAGCAGUAGGGAAUCUUCCACAAUGGACGAAAGUCUGAUGGAGCAACGCCGCGUGAGUGAAGAAGGAUUUCGGUUCGUAAAACUCUGUUGCAAGGGAAGAACAAGUAGCGUAGUAACUGGCGCUACCUUGACGGUACCUUGUUAGAAAGCCACGGCUAACUACGUGCCAGCAGCCGCGGUA